rnacentral:tRNA from 1 species
GUCUUAGCUCAGUUGGUAGAGCAACUCAUUCGUAAUGAGUAGGUCGCAAGUUCGAAUCUUGUUGACGG